CCUACGGGAGGCAGCAGUGAGGAAUAUUGGUCAAUGGGCGCGAGCCUGAACCAGCCAAGUAGCGUGAAGGAUGACUGCCCUACGGGUUGUAAACUUCUGUUAUAAAGGAAUAAAGUGAGGCACGUGUGCCUUUUUGUAUGUACGGUAUGAAUAAGGAUCGGCUAACUCCGUGCCAGCAGCCGCGGUAACACGGAGGAUCCGAGCGUUAUCCGGAUUUAGUGGGUUUACAGGGAGCGUAGAUGGGUUGUUAAGUCAGUUGUGAAAGUUUGCGGCUCAACCGUAAAAUUGCAAUUGUUACUGGCAGUCUUGAGUCCAGUUGAGGUCGGCGGAAUUCGUUGUGUAGCGGUUAAAUGCU
rnacentral:rRNA from 1 species